rnacentral:rRNA from 1 species
UACAGAGGGUGCGAGCGUUAAUCGGAAUUACUGGGCGUAAAGCGCGCGUAGGCGGCUUUGCAAGUCGGGUGUGAAAUCCCCAGGCUUAACCUGGGAACUGCAUUCGAGACUGCAUUGCUAGAGUAUGGGAGAGGGAAGUGGAAUUUCCGGUGUAGCGGUGAAAUGCGUAGAUAUCGGAAGGAACAUCAGUGGCGAAGCGACUUCCUGGACCAAUACUGACGCUCAUGUGCGAAAGCGUGGGGAGCAAACAGG